AAAAGUUUAAGAACUUCUGAUUUAGAGAGUAUGAGAGUUUACAUGAGGAUUUUCCUUGGACAAAAAUAUAAGUUUGCACUCACAAACAAAAUACUAAUGUAGGUAAUUAAAUUAGUAUUUUAUGUGAAACAUUAGGUACCUUUCUUAUUUAUUUAUGCGCGACUUUUACUUUGUCCCACCUCUACUUACUCAUCUGAAGGAUAUUUCAGUCUUCAUUUGUAAUGCAAAUAAUUUUAUAAAGUACAUUA